rnacentral:lncRNA from 1 species
CUUCCCACCCUCCUGGACACCUACAGCACCCAAUGCCAUAGGAAGGCCAAAACAAUCAUCAAGGACAUCAACCACCCGAGCCACUGCCUGUUCACCCCGCUAUCAUCCAGAAGGCAAGGUCCACUGACACUAAUAUGUGCUUGUGAAGUUAUUCUCUGCUCAGCUGACAGAUACAGGAGUCCAUUCCAUUCCAAAUAGGUUACCUUGGCUCUCCUCUAUGCACAGCACUCUGGGGAUUCCUGCAGUUGUUCUCAGAAGACAGGUCAGUGUGUGUAGAGAGAACACGUUUGACCAGGUAGUCAGGCUUCUACUUCAUCGGCCUGGACCAGUACACCAAAGAGGCGGAGGACGCCAAGUUUGGACCAAUUAUGCUGAUGCCCCACUGUAAGAACCUGGAGAUCUGUACUGGUUCUGAGGGAGGUGACGUGGCCACAAACAGUGCCUGAGACAUUCCGGCGCCCGGGUCACCUUCCGGCGACUGGGACACCUUCUAGUGCUACUGUUGACUAGAGCAGGGGGUUCCCAAACUUUUUCACUUGGGGCCCCCCUUCCAGCAUUGGGGAACAUCCCACUCCCGCAGGCGUGCACACACACCAUGUCUAUUUCUAUGGACACAAGCACUGUUCAUGACACAAACUGUUCACACCCUUCUUGUUGUUGGAGAGAAUUUUGCAGGUUUAAAGCUUAUUUCCUGCAAUUCUACACAUUUAGUCAUGGGGUGCAAAUAACAUUUUGCAAUUUUAAAGCUCAUUUUCUUGCAAUUCUAUAGAGUUUGCCAUGUCUAAUGUGUAUUUAUGUGAUAUUUGAAUGACUUUGAAAUUACAACGAUAUCUAUGGGCAAAAAAAAAACUUUUUUUUUUUUUGUUUUAGCUGACAUGGGCUAGUUCAUCUGGACACUUCUGACAAGUUAUAAAUAGCUCUCUAAGGUAUGUAAUGACUAACAUGAUAAGAGGAACUGAUGAUGCACUACUCCAUUUUGAAAUUGCACCUUGUGCAUUCUACUAUUACAACUUUAAAGAGUAAGUUUAAAG